rnacentral:tmRNA from 1 species
AGGCUUUUUUUCUGCCGCGUCUGCCUCUAUAUUCACCUAGCCGGAUUCGUCCGGCUAUGGCGAUAAACGCGGUCGUAAUAAGCCGAUCGGACCCGGGGGCAGUACCCGGCGCCUCCACCAAAUGCCGCCGACAAGAGCACGUUGCGUCGGAUGGGCACGUAGGAUCAGUCGCGGGUCAUACCGCGGCGGCAUCUGAUGGGGGCGAACUAGGAUCGACGAAGGUGUAAAGGGCUUAGCUUUCGCUCGGCAUGGUUCCGCCGUCAUCGGGCCAUUCAGAAUAGUUGCCAAUGACAACUAUGCUGAGGCUGCUCUCGCUGCGUAACGCAGUGCGAAAAGCCUGAACUUGAAGCCCUUGCCCCUAGCCGGGUAAGGCGCGGUCCGGAGGGCACCGGGCAACAGAAGCCCUCCAACU